GGCGCUGUGGCGGAGUGGUUAUCGCGCAAGCCUAGAAAGCUUGUUCCUUCGGGAGCGCAGGUUCGAGUCCUGCCGGCGUCG